UCUGCCCCGCCGCGGGACGCCAUGGCGGUGAUGGGCACAGCACGUGGCCAAGCGAGGCCAGGAGAGUUUCUGGCACUCGCCUUCCAGGGAACCUGAGCUGAUGACUUCGCUGGACUAACAACAUCAGCCUCGCCAGCUGCACAAUGGAUUUGCAAUUGUUUGCUGAAGGCCAUUGACGUGCMCUGAUGGCCUGAACUGCAGAUCUGACAAGGGACCUUCUUGGGAAAUCAAGGCUGGGAGCAAGGGAGGGGGCACAGCAGUGAAGAAACACCAUGGUGACAAAGAGGAAGGUAAAAGCUAUGAUUCYUUGCACUCGUGAGGCAUGAUGUGGGGAGGAGCAAACUAUGUUCAGUGUGAGAUCUUCUGCCAGCUGGUCCCAACAUCUCUUAAGCUUCUCAGUCUUCUGAGAUUUCUUGAUUAAAUAAUAAAUAAGAGUAAGAUUUUUUCAGCUGACUGUUGCAUUUGCUCUGACUGUCUCUUCCACUAAGGCCUGGGCUACAGCUGCCUGGAGGAAGGAUUUGUUCCCUGC